GUUAGGUUCUUCCCUGAAGAUAAUAAUAAUACCUAUUAUCGAGUCUGAUCUUUGAUUAGAUUUCAGGAAACCUACUUAAAUGACAUAUAAAUACGACGCUUGUAAGCUAACAAUCAUAUUCUUAACAAGUGUUCGGGACUGAUUAAAUUAAAUUAAAAAACAUGAAGGUUUUAAUCGUUGCAAUCUUUGCCGCCCUCAUCUGCAUCGCACAGGCUUCACCUAUUGAAAGUCAGGAUGUAGAGAUACCAGAACUGGCAGCAGAUGCUAUGGAACCAAUGGAGAUGUUAAACGGCGCUCGUCAACGAAUCUGCACGGCCGCGUUGUGUCAAUCUGUGUGCAGAAGUCUGGGAUGGCGCACAGGCAGCUGCAACGCGCAACUAUUGUGCAUCUGCAGACGUUAACUCAUUAAUUUAAAUAAGAUAGAUCAUAAGUCUUAUGUUAAUUAUUUUAUUCAUAAAUAUUUGAACCUAUUAAACGCUUUUUCAAACUAAUAUAAUCCCUCAUUGCAAAAAUACGUGAUGUUAAACACUUCAUAGUCAAGGGCACGUAAAAUUUAAUUUUUAUAUAAAUUAUCAUAAAUAUGGACAUAUUAUGUAAUACCUGUGGCUACAACUUGCAUUGUGUUAAUAAUUUGAUCAUUGUUGGCUCGACAUCAUGACAAUUAAAGGUAUUUUUCAUCCCAAUCUA